CCGGGGGACCGGGCAGCCGCGUCAUCCUUCGGGAUGCCGAGGAAAGUCCGGGCUCCACGAAACAAGGGUGGCGGGUAACGCCCGCCGGGCGCAAGCUUAGGGAAAGUGCCACAGAGAGCAGACCGCCUGUUUACAGGUAAGGGUGAAAGGGUGCGGUAAGAGCGCACCGCGCGGCCGGUAACGGUUGCGGCAUGGCAAACCCCACCCGGAGCAAGACCGAAUAGGGGCGGCGGGCUUGUCUACGUCCGAAAGGAUACGGGACAGGCGGGGCGGUUUCGGCCCCUGAUCGCCCGGGUUGGUCGCUGGAGCGGCGUAGCAAUGCGUCGCCAAGAGGAAUGGCUGCCGUCGUCCGCAUGUCCCUUUCGGGAUACUACGGGCGUCACAGAACCCGGCUUACAGGUCCCCCGGCAAA
rnacentral:RNase_P_RNA from 1 species